rnacentral:tRNA from 1 species
AUUUUAUUAAUAUAAUAUAAGUAUAAUUAAUUUCCAAUUAAAAAGUUUAAAAUUUUAAAUAAAAUA